rnacentral:snRNA from 1 species
AUCUGGCUGGGACAUCUGUCACCCCACUGAUCGCCAGGGUUGAUUCAGCUGAUCUGGCUGUGACAUCUAUCAUCCCACU